rnacentral:rRNA from 1 species
GAGGCAGCAGUGGGGAAUUUUGGGCAAUGGGCGAAAGCCUGACCCAGCAACGCCGCGUGAAGGAUGAAAUCCCUCGGGAUGUAAACUUCGCAAGAACGGGAAGAAUAAGUAGGGGACAAUACCCCCUAUGAUGACGGUACCGUUUGUAAGCUCCGGCUAACUCCGUGCCAGUAGCCGCGGUAAUACGGGGGGAGCAAGCGUUGUUCGGAUUUACUGGGCGUAAAGGGCGCGUAGGCGGUCAGCACAAGUCAAUUGUGAAAUCUCCGAGCUUAACUCGGAAAGGUCAACUGAAACUGUGCGACUAGAGUGCGGAAGGGGCAACUGGAAUUCUUGGUGUAGCGGUGAAAUGCGUAGAUAUCAAGAGGAACACCUGCGGCGAAGGCGGGUUGCUGGGCCGACACUGACGCUGAAGCGCGAAAGCCAGGGGAGCGAACGGGAUUAGAUACCCCGGUAGUCCUGGCCUUAAACGAUGAAUGCUUGGUGUCUGGGGUUAUAAAGUCCCCGGGUGCCGUCGCUAACGCUUUAAGCAUUCCGCCUGGGGAGUACGGUCGCAAGACUGAAACUCAAAGGAAUUGACGGGGACCCGCACAAGCGGUGGAGCAUGUGGUUUAAUUCGACGCAACGCGAAGAACCUUACCUGGGCUAGAAUGCCUCUGACAACCCUAGAGAUAGGGCCUCCAAGGUAAAACUUGGCAGAGUGCAAGGUGCUGCAUGGCUGUCGUCAGCUCGUGUCGUGAGAUGUUGGGUUAAGUCCCGCAACGAGCGCAACCCUUAUCUUUAGUUGCCAGCAUUAAGUUGGGCACUCUAGAGAGACUGCCGUUGACAAAACGGAGGAAGGUGGGGAUGACGUCAAGUCCUCAUGGCCUUUAUGUCCAGGGCUACACACGUGCUACAAUGGCCGGUACAAACCGCCGCAAACUCGCAAGAGGGAGCCAAUCGGAAAAAGCCGGUCUCAGUUCGGAUUGGAGUCUGCAACUCGACUCCAUGAAGUUGGAAUCGCU